GGCGGUAGUGUAUAUAAAUGCGUCCCAGAUCUUGAUUCCGGCAUAACACAUAUUUUUUUACAGAUUAAUUCUUUGUUUUCACUUUAAUCCUCAAAAACCAACCAAAAAAUCAAAAAAUGGGCGCUGAAAAGGUAUCCAUGAACAUCGUUGUCGUUGGACAAGUCCAAUCUGCCAAAGCCAUCAAGACCGUCGCCAAGGCCACACCAGCCACCAGCCAACUGAUGAACUGUUAAUUCAUGUAAUCCAUACAUUGCAAAGCUCAAAAAUGCCAUAGCCCAAACAGUACAAUAAUAUGUAAUUUAUAUCAGUAUUGACACCGCAAAAUAAAUCAGUCGUUUCCGAUGAACAUAA